rnacentral:rRNA from 1 species
GAUGAACGCUGGCGGCGUGCUUAACACAUGCAAGUCGAACGAAACACCCUAUUUGAUUUUCUUCGGAACUGAAGAUUUGGUGAUUGAGUGGCGGACGGGUGAGUAACGCGUGGGUAACCUACCUUGUACAGGGGGAUAACAGUCAGAAAUGACUGCUAAUACCGCAUAAGACCACGGCACCGCAUGGUGCAGGGGUAACAACUCCGGUGGUACAAGAUGGACCCGCGUCUGAUUAGCCAGUUGGCAGGGUAACGGCCUACCAAAGCGACGAUCAGUAGCCGACCUGAGAGGGUGACCGGCCACAUUGGGACUGAGACACGGCCCAAACUCCUACGGGAGGCAGCAGUGGGGAAUAUUGCACAAUGGGGGAAACCCUGAUGCAGCGACGCCGCGUGAGCGAAGAAGUAUUUCGGUAUGUAAAGCUCUAUCAGCAGGGAAGAAGAAUGACGGUACCUGACUAAGAAGCAC